GCCGAAGUGGUGGAACUGGUAGACACGCCAUCUUGAGGGGGUGGUGGAGAGAUCCGUGGGGGUUCGAGUCCCCCCUUCGGCACCA
rnacentral:tRNA from 1 species